CCGUGAGGGGAACAACCCAGAGCCGGGUUAAGGUCCCAAAGUGUAGAUUAAGUGCGAUUCGAAGGUGGUCUCAAGCCCUAAACAGCCGGGAGGUGAGCUUAGAAGCAGCUACCCGCUAAGAAAAGCGUAACAGCUUACCGGCCGAGGUUUGAGGCGCCCAAAAUGAUCGGGGCUCAAAUCUACCACCGAGACCUGGCCGUGCCCUUGACAGGGGCAACCGCGUAGGUUGGCGUACUGGUCGGAUGGAAGCCCGGGCGAGAGCUCGUGUGGACCGUCCAGUAACGACAAUCCUGGUCACAGUAGCAGCGAUAGUCGGGUGAGAACCUCGACGGCCUGAAGAGCAAGGGUUCCUCGGCACUGCCGUUCAGCCGAGGGUUAGCCGGUCCUAAGGUGCACCGCAACUUGACUGCAUCAACGGGAAACUGGUUAAGAUUCCAGUGCCAUCGUGCAGUAAAAGUCGACGCCGUGUGGAACGCUGAGCCGGGCCUUCGCCCGGUCGAAUCGUGGAACCUCGUGGAAGCCGUCACGGCACGAAGCGAGAGAAGCGCGAGAUAGCGCAAGUCAGCCGUACAUAGGGCCCGUGAAAAGACGAGCACGAUGUCCGUACCGAGAUCCGACACAGGUGCUCUGGCAGCGCAAGCCAAGGCCUGUCGGGAGAACCGACGUUAGGGAAUUCGGCAAGUUAGUCCCGUACCUUCGGAAGAAGGGAUGCCUGCUCUCGACGGAGCAGGUCGCAGUGACUCGGGCGCUCCGACUGUCUAAUAACAACACAGGUGACCGCAAAUCCGCAAGGACUCGUACGGUCACUGAAUCCUGCCCAGUGCGGGUAUCUGAACACCUCGUACAAGAGGACGAAGGACCCGUCAACGGCGGGGGUAACUAUGACCCUCUUAAGGUAGCGUAGUACCUUGCCGCUUCAGUAGCGGCUUGCAUGAAUGGAUAAACGAGAGCGCCACUGUCCCAACGUUGGACCCGGUGAACUGUACGUUCCAGUGCGGAGUCUGGAGACCCCCAAGGGGAAGCGAAGACCCUAUAGAGCUUUACUGCAGGCUGUCGCUGAGACGUGGUCGCCGAUGUGCAGCAUAGGUAGGAGUCGUUACACAGGUACCCGCGCCAGCGGGCCACCGAGACAGCAUUGAAAUACUACCCGUCGGUGACUGCGACUCUCACUCCGGGAGGAGUACACCGGUAGCCGGGCAGUUUGACUGGGGCGGUACGCGCUCGAAAAGAUAUCGAGCGCGCCCGAAGAUCAUCUCAGCCGGGUCGGGAAUCCGGCGAAGAGCGCAAGAGCACAAGAUGGUCUGACAGUGUCAUUCCCAACGAGUGACGCUGACGCGAAAGCGUGGUCUAGCGAACCUACGAGGUUCCGGAAUGGGGCCCGUAGAUGACAGAAAAGCUACCUUAGGGAUAACAGAGUCGUCACUCGCAAGAGCACAUAUCGACCGAGUGGCUUGCUACCUCGAUGUCGGUUCCCUCCAUCCUGCCCGUGCAGAAGCGGGCAAGGGUGAGGUUGUUCGCCUAUUAAAGGAGGUCGUGAGCUGGGUUUAGACCGUCGUGAGACAGGUCGGCUGCUAUCUAUUGGGGGUGUCAAGGUACUUGACGUGAACGAACGUAUAGUACGAGAGGAACUACGUUUGGUCGCCACUGGUGUACCGGUUGUGUGAGAACGCAAUGCCGGGUAGCCACGCGACACGGGGUAAGAGCUGAACGCAUCUAAGCUCGAAACCCACAUGGAAAAGAAGUACCGAUGAGGUCACUCGUAGAAGACGAGUUCGAUAGACUCGGGAUGUACGCACCGAGGCAACGAGGUGUUGAGUCCACGAGCACUAACAGACCGAAGCCACAGUC
rnacentral:rRNA from 1 species